GGACGUGUAAUUGAUCCGUUCUGCAGCCGUGUUGAUCUAGAAAUGGUUGAAGCUUUGAUAUGCACCAAGGCCUGGGUCGCCAUUUAUCUUGUUGUCCUUAAUUUUCUAUAACAAAAUUGAUCAUAUGUCAUGCCUGUGCUAAUAUAUGUCUCGCUGUCCUUCAAUUUCAGAUAGGAGAGUUGGUUCCAUUGUGGGUGACCUGGAAGUUCUUGAUGCCAUUGCUACAAAACUGGCGCGUGAGGUACGUAUUUGUAAGUUCUAUUAUUGUAACAUGAGUUCAUAUUAUUUUUUUCAAAAUAUUUUGUCAUUACAACUUCACCGGUUAAUUGUUUUGCCUCAUUGUCUAUCUUGUUGACUAGGAGGAUGAAGUUGCUGAUAGUGAUGAGGAGGUGGAGGGGUUCAAUUCAAGGGAUUUGGAGUUUGAAUUGCAGGACAUGUAGGUGUUGCUAUUGGUGAAUUGUUGUGACUUGUGACUAAUGCAAUUGAAGUCGGGAGCUUUCUUUUGGCUGCCUACUUGAAUUGAUGUUAUGUAUGGACCUAUGGAGUAUGGUGUAUGGACCAUGUAUCACUGUGUCAAACUAUGUUAUGUAGCUGCUACUAUUAGCCGGUCAUUUAGGUAUGGAUCUUGGUUUUAUGUUGUCAUGUCGAUUUGUGAACUUGAACGGUUAAACCUGAGAUGUCAUAUGAUUUAUGAAUGUCAUGUAUGAACUAUUGUGUCAUUUAUAUCUGCUAUCUGGUUAUGAUUGGAUAUGCCUCAUUAUAUGGGGGGCAUGCUUCAUGUAUCUGUAUUAUUUAUGUUGAGCUAAGUAUUUUGAGUGGUUACAUGGGUCGAUGUUCCCGAACCGUAUUAUUGGCUUCCCGAUCGUUAUCGACAUGUUUCUGUUCGAAUUACUUCAUUUCUAACAUCCGGAAUUGCCCGUUAUUGUUUUCCCGACCAGCUUUCCCGAUUUUGUUUUUUAUUUCAUAUAAAAAUCCUGGUUAGAGGGUUUUCCCAUGCGUUCCUGAUCGUUUUAGUCACACCUCAUCGAGAGAUUUUAGUAUUUGAGUCCCAAUUUGCACGUCUUUCGUUAUUUGAUACCGAAUUCGCAAACCUUUUGAAAUUUUGACACUAAGACAUGAGAGUUCUUAAUUUAGGUGUUUCUUCUCAUUUUCUUCUUUUCCUUCCCUUUAAUUUAACUUUUCCUAUCCAUGUCCGCAUCUCUUGCCUGCGUCCUCCAAUCUCAC
rnacentral:lncRNA from 1 species